AUCCUAUGAUGAAAAAAAAAUCAGUUCUGCUUCUGAAUACCAUGACGAUUUUUUAAUAAACCAAAUUUCUGAGGA
rnacentral:snoRNA from 1 species